GACAGAGGUGCCGAGCGUUAGGCGGAAUCACUGGGCUUAAAGCGUGUGUAGGCGGGUCGUUAAGUGUCUUGUGAAAUCCCCCGGCUCAACCGGGGAAUGGCUGGGCAUACUGGCGAUCUUGAGCAGUCUAGGGGCAGAUGGAACAAGUGGUGGAGCGGUGAAAUGCGUAGAUAUCGUUUGGAACGCCAAUGGUGAAAACAGCUCGCUGGGGACGUACCGACGCUGAGACACGAAAGCCAGGGGAGCGAACGGG
rnacentral:rRNA from 1 species